CGUAGGGUGCGAGCGUUAAUCGGAAUUACUGGGCGUAGAGUGUGCGCAGGCGGCCGAGCAAGUCGAGUGUGAAAGCCCCGAGCUUAACUUGGGAACUGCGCUCGAAACUACUUGGCUAGAGUGUGGCAGAGGGAGGUGGAAUUCCACGUGUAGCGGUGAAAUGCGUAGAGAUGUGGAGGAACACCGAUGGCGAAGGCAGCCUCCUGGGCCAACACUGACGCUCAUGCACGAAAGCGUGGGGAGCAAACAGGAUUAGAUACCCUGGUAGUCCACGCCCUAAACGAUGAUGACUAGUUGUUGGAGGAGUUAAAUCCUUUAGUAACGCAGCUAACGCGUGAAGUCAUCCGCCUGGGGAGUACGGUCGCAAGAUUA
rnacentral:rRNA from 1 species